rnacentral:misc_RNA from 1 species
UAGAGUUUUCUAACUCCCAAACCCAUGUGAACUUACCUUUGUUGCCUCGGCAGAACCUACCCGGUACCUACCCUGGAACGGCUACCCUGUAGCAGUUACCCUGGAACGGGAUACCCUGUAGUGCUCCUGCCGGUGGACCUUUAAACUCUUGUUAUUUUAUGUAAUCUGAGCGUCUUAUUUUAAUAAGUCA